CUGGAGAUAACUGUGAGAGCAGGAAGCUGUGGUGUGGUUGACACACUGACUUAUAACGACCACCCCCCACCCCCAGUGGGUGAAAGGUCUCUCUGUCAGUACAGCAGCUCAGGAUGGAGAUAAUGGUGCUCUGCGCUGUGGUGGGUUGCCUCAGAGUCCUUCCCAGCAGAUCCCAGUUCUUCCAGUAUGAGCCUGUUACUCUGAGCUGUGAGGGAAACUCGUCUGAGUGGAGAGUCCUAAGAAACACAUCAAGACAAAGAAACGAACUCUGUCCUUCCCCAUCCCAGAGAAAUGCCUCUAUGUGCUUCUUUCCUGAGCUGUAUGAAGUAGACUCUGGAGUUUACUGGUGUGAAUCUGCAGCAGGAGAACGCAGCAAUCAAGUCAACAUCACUGUUACAGAAGGACCGUUGAUCCUGGAGAGUCCUGGACAUCCAGUGAGGGAAGGGGAACACGUGACUCUUCACUGCAGAGCCUUAUCGUUUGUCUCCAAUCCUACUCAUUUCUAUAAAAAUGGCGUCCUCGCUGGGACCAGCUCUACGGGAAACUUUUCCAUCCGACGUGUUUCUAGAUCUGAUGAAGGACUCUACAAGUGCAACGUCUCUGGAGUCGGAGAAUCCACAGAAAUAUGGCUGGCUGUCAGAGGGCACAGUCCUCAAACGCCUACUGCUCCCCUCACACACGUUCUACUUUCUCUUGUGGCCGGCUGUUUGUGGUCGAUCUAGCUGAUGUUGCUCUGCCUCUGGAGAAACCACAAAGGUACAACUGGUCUGCCCUUCUGUUAGCUGUGGCAUCAUACAGGAGAGACAGAUCAUCAUUCACCUGUUUCUUCACAGCAUUUCGCCAGCUUCAACUUCUGAGUUUAAUUCUCGCGUUCUACAGCACCGGAGCUCCGAGGAUGAUACACGCAGUGUGUCCUUAUGUCACAGCCCAAGAACUUACCCACAUCAGUCACGGCCUCAUUGACAGAAUGGAAUUCAUUGUCACUGGAAAUCCAAGCUGGAAUCCCCUAACGAGGAAUGAUCUCAAUAAAAUAGGCUUUUGUGACAGCAUGGCUGUCAGCCUUUUUAGAAACAAAAGCCUCAGUCCAUUUACCGUACAUAGCCACAAUAACAAGGACAAACUUCUUACCUUCAGAAGGAUUCAGUUCAAUGUCCAUCAUUAUGUGGUCAAAUGGUUUGACCUAGAGUCCUCUGAGGGGCACGCUGUGCAUUAAAUGAACAGCAGAUCAUGCGUGACUGCUUUCAUUUUAUAAUUGGUGAGACAGCUUCUCUGAAAUGUCCAGAAGAUGGCGAUAUAUUUUCCAUCAACAGCCUUACAUCAGACAAGAAAUUUAAUACAUUAUUACCUGUGUUUUUGGAUGCUUUCCAAACAGUUUUGAGAGAUCCUAGAGCUGUGGGUAGAUAGUCAGAUUAUUUUUAAUUUUUAAGGUUUUAAUCAGUCCUGUCAUGAAAGUCAAGAAUGCUUUACUGUCAGAGCCUGACCCUUAGGGGCUGAUUUAAAAAAACAAAUGGGAAGAGUGACAAAUCUAAAUAUGGAGCUAAUUUAAUAUUCAAUAAAUAACUAAAGUUAAGCUAAAUUUAUUCAUGCCUCUGGCAGGUUCAAAUUUAAAAUCAUUUCAUAAUUUUCCCAAUGUGGUUCUUCUGAUCAAAAAUAAUACUAAUGUUUAAAAGUGGCCCAGUCAGAAUGCUGACUUUAAUCUUAUAGAGAAUCUGAGGAAGGAGGAAAUGAUUAGGGUUAUGACAUAUAGACGUUCUGAACUCAAGGAUAUGAAGUUCUUAACAGAAGAUAAAUAACCAAAAUGUUCUUGAAAACGUCAGCAGGGAUUGAUUGCUAUAAUCCCUAUAAAGAUUUUUCCACUGAUUAUUGGGAAGUACACAUUAUUUUUGGAAUGCUAUUUGUUGAUAAAAGGCACUUCAGACAAAUGUUAUAGUAAAAUACAAUGCACGCCUACUGUGUAGUAGAGACAAAUGUCCUGGUUCACAAAAUUACCAACUGGAAAUCCUGAAUUAUUUCCCCUUAUAUAACUGUGGAAUCAUAUGUUUAGUCAUAAUAAAUUAAUGUUUCAUUGAAUUAUAUGUGUGAUUGCAACCGAGGUAAGGUUUGCAGUCUUUGUAGUUGAACUUGUGAACUAUAAUCAUGCACUAUGUUUGAGCAUGCUUGGGGAAGGGAGUAAGGUUCUCCUUAAAAAAUCCUGCUUUGUUCUCAAAUGCAGCUGCACUAAUAAAUUCUACAAGGUGUCUAUAACACCUUGUCAGGAACCAGAUAACAGCCCAGGACAAGGGGAGUGUAGGUUGCAUCUGGGAGAUGACUGCAGCUAACGGAUGGUGUUUAGGCACAAAAGCAGAGGUUUGAGAGUAAAGAGACCUGAUCAGCACUAGCACAGUGUUUCCGCAGUAGGCUAUUGCUGUAAGUGUUGAUCUCCAAAAAUAAGAACCAAGCCUGGCUGGCUAAAGUGGCCACCCGAGAGCAGAGUUGGUGGAAAGGUGGAAGCCAGAGCAUACAUACUCACAUACUAAGAAUUAUUAUAAGAAUUAUUAUUCUGAAGUCACUAUGGCCUCACACCACUCGGACAUAGGAGGCCUGGAGACCUGA